CAUAUCCUAUGGCGCUCAAGACCUGAGACGUCUGAACUUCGAGGCAGCGCGGCGCCGGCUGAAAAUGGCUACUGCAAGCUACUAUUGAGCGAGUGCUGCGUGGCGGCGACACACUGGCGCGUCGACCGAGUCAUCAGUGCGACUUUGAAUAGUUCCAGAAGUCCAAAAAGCUGUCGGUGAUCACAUUGUGAGCAGUGUGUGGAACUGUCUGCAGACACGGUGCACGGUAUACAUGGGGAGCAGACACGGUGCAGUGAGGCAUGAUGAAACUGGACCAUUGCGGCUCGGUAGCAGUACACGGCGGUCAGUGAUUUCGAGGUGACGUCAUCGCGAUCUCUGCGACAGAGCUACGCGCCCAGUGGAACAAUUUUCCUUACUACGCCGCGCGAUGGACCCGUAAAUGAAACCGUUACGAUCAUAAUCGUGUUUUUCCACCGAAGCUGUGUAAUGUAGUCAUGCUGCGAGGAUGUAAUAGCUAAGCUGUGAAACUAUGUGACCCUUUUCACUGUAACCAAGCUAUGUAGCGGUGCGAGUAAGAUUUGCUAUGAAGAUGCCGAUCUGACGCCGCAAAGUAGCUGCACGUGGAAGAUGCGUAGCUCGAGUAUGCGAUGUAUCGAUAGUAGGGAAACCAUUCAUAUUACAUAUCUAUAGCACACAUUCAUAGCAUGCAUCUGUCCAUAUAAAAUACCUAUCUUAUUUUAACUUGUUUCCAACAGUGCUAUGACGUAUGAUUGAUAUGACAGCAAUUUAGCAUAGUACUCUGGUGGAAAUGUAAUCUUGAAAGGGAUUUUUUUAAUAAUUUGUAUAUGGUGAAAAAUCGAGCAAAAAAGGUGGCAUGGCCAUACCAUUCUUUUCUCGAAGCCAUUCAGGUCCAUUUCGACCGCCUAUAACUUCGUUGUGGAUAAAACAAGAAGCCUGAAUUUUUAGGUAGGUACUAAGCAGGCAUUGAACAAACAUAUAUUUUAAACGAACAUAUAUUUUAAUUUUCAUAAAAUUUACUAUUGGUAAGAAUUAUAACUUGUCAAAGUUUCGAAAUUUAUCACUGACUGACUGAAGAAUCAUCAAAAGUUUAAGGCAUUUCUAACAGAUAGAAGCCUCAAAUUUAGAAUACACUUGGUGUUUAAUACCUACCUCAAGGGAAAAAUCCCG